GAUGAACGCUGGCGGCGUGCCUAAUACAUGCAAGUCGAGCGAACGGACGAGAAGCUCGCUUCUCUGAUGUUAGCGGCUGACGGGUGAGUAACACGUGGAUAACCUACUUAUAAGACUGGGAUAACUUCGGGAAACCGGAGCCAAUACCGGCUAAUAUUUUGAACCGCAUGGUUCAAAAGUGAAAGACGGUUUUGCUGUCACUUAUAGACGGAUCCGCGCUGCAUUAGCUAGUUGGUAAGGUAACGGCUUACCAAGGCAACGAUGCAUAGCCGACCUGAGAGGGUGAUCAGCCACACUGGAACUGAGACACGGUCCAGACUCCUACGGGAGGCAGCAGUAGGGAAUCUUCCGCAAUGGGCGAAAGCCUGACGGAGCAACGCCGCGUGAGUGAUGAAGGUCUUCGGAUCGUAAAACUCUGUUAUUAGGGAAGAACAUAUGUGUAAGUAACUGUGCACGUCUUGACGGUACCUAAUCAGAAAGCCACGGCUAACUACGUG
rnacentral:rRNA from 1 species